CUACUAUUAGACACAUUCUUCCCUGCUUGUGGUCUGCUUCUUUCAGGUCCAGGCUUGUGGGCCUAUGUUAAUUUGCAGGGUUGAGUUAUUUACACUGUGUUAUAAUCUAGUCUAUCAGUUUCCUGCAUUUUCCUCCUCAAGAUGAUCACUAGUUCAAAAUAAAUGAAAUCCCUAAAUGCAGGGGGCGGGGGCAGGCGGGUGGAAAGGGGGCAAAGCAGGAUUUGAGAGGAACUGUAGCAUUUUCUCUGUAUCUUGCCUCAGUGUCCUAGACUCCAAAGGCAGGAGAAAGCGGGUAGGUAUUCCCACUCUCUGCUCACUGCUUCCGGCUCGGAAGCAGAGGGAAAUGGGGAAGAUAACACAGAUAAAAACAGCAACUCCACCCAAAUGACUCAAAUGAAGGCACAUCUCUGAGUCUUUGUGUUUUCCUGAAACUCCAGGCCUGAACCCAGGAGAGAACUGUCCAGCUGUCUGUGCUCUAAUGGGAACCAUAGAAGUCUCCAGAAAGCCUCCGACCUGCUCUCUUCUCACUCUGGCUCUGUUUCCUUCUUUGGUGAGAAGACACACAGGACAGACAGCAGCAGAGCGGCACAGGGACGUGCAGGUGUGGGUGUGUGUGCAGGAAUGUUCAUGUACAAUCCACACUGCUACAAGGAGUAGGCAGAGAAAGGUGUCCAGGAGAAGAAAACAAACGGGGAUUGAAGCUGCAUAAGAAAAUACUCUGGGCAAUAAUUGAGAGAUCCUGGGGCUUUCUGGAGCAGGGCUUGAUGUCCGUCCCUCGGCUGGAGGCCCAAAACCUUCUGAGGGGCUGAUCUUCCCCACGGGGGACUCACAGAACAGAGGCAAGCUGUGCGCUCCUAGUGCUCGAGUGUGUGUGUGUGUGUGUGUGUCUACGAGCAGAUGC
rnacentral:lncRNA from 1 species